rnacentral:rRNA from 1 species
GACGAACGCUGGCGGCGUGCCUAAUACAUGCAAGUCGAACGAGAGCGACCGGUGCUUGCACUGGUCAAUCUAGUGGCGAACGGGUGAGUAACACGUGGGUAACCUGCCCAUCAGAGGGGGAUAACAUUCGGAAACGGAUGCUAAAACCGCAUAGGUCUUCGAACCGCAUGGCUGGAAGAGGAAAAGAGGCGCAAGCUUCUGCUGAUGGAUGGACCCGCGGUGCAUUAGCUAGUUGGUGAGGUAACGGCUCACCAAGGCCGUGAUGCAUAGCCGACCUGAGAGGGUGAUCGGCCACAUUGGGACUGAGACACGGCCCAAACUCCUACGGGAGGCAGCAGUAGGGAAUCUUCCGCAAAGGACGCAAGUCUGACGGAGCAACGCCGCGUGAGUGAAGAAGGUUUUCGGAUCGUAAAACUCUGUUGUUAGAGAAGAAUAAGUGCUAGAGUAACUGUUAGCGCCUUGACGGUAUCUAACCAGAAAGCCACGGCUAACUACGUG